AUGUCCCUGACCGUUUAAACGAAAUCUCUCUCUCUCUCUCAAAUCCUCACGGAAAUCCCUAAGCCAAAAAUUUCCGCUCCCUAAAAUCGCCGUGGCGUCGUCGAUCUCAUCACUGAACUCGUCGUCGUUUCAUCUUGGAUGUCAUCUCCAAUCUCCUCUCCGAUAUUAUCUUCAAGGUCGAGCUACUCUUGUUGGUUCGAUCUUUCGUACUGGAGAUCGAAAGACCCCUCGAUUUCAGGUCUUAUGCGGGGACUGGAAACCCUAUCAGUCGUUUUGUUUUUGGGCCGAGAAGUCUGCAAAACCCUAUCUCAGUUCAACUGGUUGCUUAGAGAUUAUCUAAAGGCUCAAUGCUGAGCCAUACGUUUUGUCCUCAGCGACCUCUUUCACAACUUGCGCAAUGAAGAUAGACAGGCCCUUCUCCAUGAAGGUGCUGGACAUCAAGUUGUUUCAGCUUUUGUGGAGAUAGUGUUCGACAAUUCUGACAAUCGUAUCCCACUAGACAAGGAAUUAUCCUCCAUGGUCCUAAUCAAGGAAGAGCCCAGGCCAGGUGAAGAGCUGACAUGUGCAUGAUAAGUUCUCACAAAGUUAUACGAUGGAUUGAAUACUCUCUGCAUACCGGAAGUCUUCAAAACAGUGGUGCUUCACACUCAACAAGCUAGCUCAAGGUGGUGUGAACUUCUUCUCUACAGUUUAUUUUCGAAGCUGUGUAAAUAUACUUGUAUGUAUAAUAAUACACUUAAUUAUACAAAGAAUGCCGGUUUCAGUUUUUGUGGGUUUUAGCUUGUUCAUUCUUUUCAUUUAUUACUAGUUAAUCACUUCUCUUUGAGUGAUGGAAACAGUUGGUGAUAAUAUUUAGCUAACUGGUUUGGGCUGAGGAUCAGUUCAAUAUGUUGAACUAGGGUUUAACAAGAUUUCUGGAAGAAUACCUAAAGAAAUUGGGAAUCUUGCAAGCUUAACUGUUUUUGGUAUGGAAGAAAAAAUUUUAAGUGGUAGUAUUCCUACAAGUAUUGGCCAAAUUCAGAGUCUACAAGAAGUGUAUUUAUCUGGAAACAAGUUGUCAGGAGAGAAUGCAUUGGAAGGAAGUAUUCCUCCCAUACUUGGAAAUUGUCAGGCUCUGCGACUGCUUAACCUUUCAUACAAUCAGAUUACAGGUACAGAAAUGAUGAAAGUCAAGAUUGAGAUUGAUACUGACAACUCAAUCGAGAAUGAAUAUAAAGUCUUUGACCGAGAAGUUUCAUGUUUUGUAAUCAAAUGUUGAUGUACAUUGUUUGAAUGUAAAUUCGGUACGAUAUUUUCUGAGUUGAAAUGUUGGUAGUGUGGAUUUAAUACUUUGUAGUUUUUAUACUAUACUGAUGUAUGUUGGCACUUAUCAUUAUGGUUGAUUAUGCUCAACAUUUUCACUUUUA